UUUAGUGCUGUCAAUGAUUAGUUGUAUAACUGACUCAUGUGAAGAAAUCAAUCACAGUUCGUCACUACCACUGAGACAGCAUUGGC